UGCCAGCCGCCGCGGUAAUACGGAGGGUGCGAGCGUUAAUCGGAAUUACUGGGCGUAAAGCGCGCGUAGGCGGUUUGUUAAGUCAGCUGUGAAAGCCCCGGGCUCAACCUGGGAACUGCAGUUGAUACUGGCAGACUUGAGUAUGAAAGAGGGAGGUAGAAUUCCAUGUGUAGCGGUGAAAUGCGUAGAUAUAUGGAGGAAUACCAGUGGCGAAGGCGGCCUCCUGGUUCAAUACUGACGCUGAGGUGCGAAAGCGUGGGGAGCAAACAGGAUUAGAUA
rnacentral:rRNA from 1 species